UCAUUGCUGGAACAAACGCCCUCACGGGUGCUACCCAGAAACCCUUUGUGAACUCAUACCAUAAAAUUGUUGCCUCGGCAGUGACUGGCCUCUUACGGAGGUCCCUUUCUUCGGGAAGGAGCAGGUUGGCCGGUGGCCCUAUAAACUCUUGUUUUUACACUGUAUCUUCUGAGUAAACAACUAUAAAUGAAUCAAAACUUUUAACAACGGAUCUCUUGGUUCUGGCAUCGAUGAAGAACGCAGCGAAAUGCGAUAAGUAAUGUGAAUUGCAGAAUUCAGUGAAUCAUCGAAUCUUUGAACGCACAUUGCGCCCGCUGGUAUUCCAGCGGGCAUGCCUGUUCGAGCGUCAUUUCAACCCUCAAAACCUCGGUUUUGGUGUUGGAGGAAUACCUGUAAAAGGGUACCCUCUGAAAUUUAGUGGCGGGCUCGCUAGAAUUUUGAGCGUAGUAAAUAUACCUCGUUUUUAAAGACUAGUGGUUCUCUUGCCGUAAAACCCCCAAGUUUCUGA
rnacentral:rRNA from 1 species